CACGUGUGUGUGUGUUUAUCACAAUGGAAUACUACUCAGUCAUAAAAAAGAUAAAAUUGUCUCAUUUGCAACAAUAUGAAUGGACCUUACAGGUAAGAAGUUAAGUGAAAUAAUCCAGACAGAGAAAGACAAACACUGCAUGACUUCACUUUGUGGAAGAUAAAGAAACACAUGGAUAAAGAGAACAAAUUAGUGGUACCAGAAGUAUUUCUUCAGGGAAGAACACAGAACUCAUUCUUCUCAUAGCCUGUCUGCACUGACCAGGGAUUGUAGCAACUGCAACCUGCCUGAAUUUCCUGCUGCUGACAAGGGGAGUCAAGUCAAUCCAAGCCUCUUAGAAGGGGUAGAGAAAAAGUCCCAGAAAGAGGGUCAAGCUGAAAAAAAUACUUGAAGAAAUAACAACUGAAAACUUCCUAAAUUUGGCAAAGGACAUAAACCUACAGAUUUAAGAAGGCGCAAAACCCUUUCCUGAAUAAUUGUGACAAAGUAAUCUUUUGAAAAAGAGAGAGUUGAAAAAGAAUCUUCAAAAGGAGACAGUGAUGAUGAAGGCGC
rnacentral:lncRNA from 1 species